rfam:Weissella kandleri strain DSM 20593 Scaffold4, whole genome shotgun sequence.
GCGGAUGUGGCGGAACUGGCAGACGCGCAGGAUUUAGGUUCCUGUGUCCUUGUGACGUGCAGGUUCGAUUCCUGUCAUCCGCA